rnacentral:tRNA from 1 species
GCCACCGUAGCUCAGUUGGCAGAGCGACGCACUCGUAAUGCGUAGGUCAGGAGUUCGACUCUCCUCGGUGGCU